rnacentral:hammerhead_ribozyme from 1 species
GUCCAACUGACGAGUCCCACACAGGACGAAACGCGCGUCCUGGAU